UUUCAAAGUAACAACCAGCAACAACUUAAAAAUAUGAUGUUGAAAUGAUCAUUAUUGUGUUGGACUGACAUGCCAGAUCUAGUUAUGAACGUCAGUUGUGCUUGGAACAUUUCAACAGACGUCGUCUUGAUCUUUCUCCUCUGGAAAGGCCAUGUGGCAGGUAUAUAGGUGUUCAGACGUUCCUGAGUACUGGACAGACCAUAUUUUCCAGAAUACAUUGACAAGGAAAACGCCAAGGAGUGUGGAGAUGCAUCUCAGAUCUACCUGUCUGUCUCUUUCUUCCUCACCUGUCUCACUGCCUCCUUCACCUGUCUCAAGACCUCCACGCUGGUUUUCCGAUGACAGACAGACAGCUACCUAGCCUAAACCCCGCCCCCUUCUGAAUCGGUAUCUCCCUGGAAUGUUCCAGAAUGCCUGAACUUAGCGCCUGCUGCUGUUUGCGUCAUCUUUAUCAAUCAAUAUGACUAUAAUUUAAGUAAUUAUAUUGAUAAUCUUGGCUGAUGGACU